AGAACGAACGCUGGCGGCAUGCCUAACACAUGCAAGUCGAACGAGACCUUCGGGUCUAGUGGCGCACGGGUGCGUAACGCGUGGGAAUCUACCCUUGGGUUCGGAAUAACAGUUGGAAACGACUGCUAAUACCGGAUGAUGUCGCAAGACCAAAGAUUUAUCGCCCAAGGAUGAGCCCGCGUAGGAUUAGCUAGUUGGUGAGGUAAAGGCUCACCAAGGCGACGAUCCUUAGCUGGUCUGAGAGGAUGAUCAGCCACACUGGGACUGAGACACGGCCCAGACUCCUACGGGAGGCAGCAGUGGGGAAUAUUGGACAAUGGGCGAAAGCCUGAUCCAGCAAUGCCGCGUGAGUGAUGAAGCCUUAGGUUGUAAAGCUCUUUUACCCGGGAUGAUAAUGACAGUACCGGAGAAUAAGCUCCGGCUAACUCCGUGCCAGCAGCCGC
rnacentral:rRNA from 1 species